CCAGUUCGGAUUGUAGUCUGCAACCCGACUACAUGAAGCUGGAAUCGCUAGUAAUCGCGGAUCAGAAUGCCGCGGUGAAUACGUUCCCGGGUCUUGUACACACCGCCCGUCACACCAUGGGAGUCGGAAAUGCCCGAAGUCUGUGACCCAACCUGAGAGGGAGGGAGCAGCCGAAGGCAGGUCGGAUGACUGGGGUGAAGUCGUAACAAGGUACC
rnacentral:rRNA from 1 species